rnacentral:tRNA from 1 species
CACUGGGAAGCUAAACCAGGGUAACAGCAUUGGCCUUUUAAGCCAAAGAUUGGUGCCUCCCAACCACCCCUAGUGA